rnacentral:rRNA from 1 species
UACGAAGGGUGCUAGCGUUGUUCGGAAUUACUGGGCGUAAAGCGCGCGUAGGCGGCUUGUCAAGUCAGGGGUGAAAUCCUGGGGCUUAACCCCAGAAUUGCCUUUGAAACUGUCAAGCUGGAGUGUCGGAGGGGAUAGCGGAAUUGCUAAUGUAGAGGUGAAAUUCGUAGAUAUUAGCAGGAACACCGGUGGCGAAGGCGGCUAUCUGGACGACAACUGACGCUGAGGCGCGAAAGCACGGGGAUCAAACAGG